rnacentral:rRNA from 1 species
GACGAACGCUGGCGGCGUGCUUAACACAUGCAAGUCGAACGAUGAAGCCAGCUUGCUGGUGGAUUAGUGGCGAACGGGUGAGUAACACGUGGGUGAUCUGCCCCAAACUUUGGGAUAAGCCUGGGAAACUGGGUCUAAUACCGAAUAUGACUGAUACUCGCAUGGGUGUUGGUGGAAAGCUCCGGCGGUUUGGGAUGGGCCCGCGGCCUAUCAGCUUGUUGGUGGGGUAAUGGCCUACCAAGGCGACGACGGGUAGCCGGCCUGAGAGGGCGACCGGCCACACUGGGACUGAGACACGGCCCAGACUCCUACGGGAGGCAGCAGUGGGGAAUAUUGCACAAUGGGCGCAAGCCUGAUGCAGCGACGCCGCGUGAGGGAUGACGGCCUUCGGGUUGUAAACCUCUUUCACCAGGGGCGAAGCGAAAGUGACGGUACCUGGAGAAGAAGCACCGGCCAACUACGUGCCAGCCGCCGCAGUAAGAC